rnacentral:rRNA from 1 species
GGAUGAGAUGGCGGAAACUCUGACGCAGCGACGCCGCGUGGGUGAUGAAGGCCUUCGGGUUGUAAAGCCCUGUCGGCUGGGAAAAAGGUUGUCGUGCUAAUACCACGAUAAUUUGAUGGUACCAGCAAAGGAAGCACCAGCUAACUCUGUGCCAGCAGCCGCGGUAAUACAGAGGGUGCAAGCGUUGUUCGGAAUUACUGGGCGUAAAGGGCGCGUAGGCGGCCUUGUAAGUCAGAUGUGAAAGCCCGAG